rnacentral:rRNA from 2 species
UAACACGUGGGUAACCUGCCCCGAAGCGGGGGAUAACAUUUGGAAACAAGUGCUAAUACCGCAUAAUUAGUUGGAACCGCAUGGUUCCAACUUGAAAGAUGGCUCUGCUAUCACUUUGGGAUGGACCCGCGCCGUAUUAGUUAGUUGGUGAGAUAAAAGCCCACCAAGACGAUGAUACGUAGCCGACCUGAGAGGGUAAUCGGCCACAUUGGGACUGAGACACGGCCCAGACUCCUACGGGAGGCAGCAGUAGGGAAUCUUCCACAAUGGACGAAAGUCUGAUGGAGCAACGCCGCGUGAGUGAUGAAGGUUUUCGGAUCGUAAAACUCUGUUGUUAAAGAAGAACAAGUGUUAGAGUAACUGUUAACACUUUGACGGUAUUUAACCAGAAAGCCACGGCUAACUACGUGCCAGCAGCCGCGGUAAUACGUAGGUGGCAAGCGUUGUCCGGAUUUAUUGGGCGUAAAGCGAGCGCAGGCGGUUUUGUAAGUCUGCUGUGAAAGCCCUCAGCUCAACUGAGGAAGUGCAGUGGAAACUACAAAACUUGAGUACAGAAGAGGAAAGUGGAACUCCAUGUGUAGCGGUGAAAUGCGUAGAUAUAUGGAAGAACACCAGUGGCGAAGGCGGCUUUCUGGUCUGUUACUGACGCUGAGGCUCGAAAGCAUGGGUAGCGAACAGGAUUAGAUACCCUGGUAGUCCAUGCCGUAAACGAUGAAUACUAGGUGUUGGAGGGUUUCCGCCCUUCAGUGCCGCAGCUAACGCAUUAAGUAUUCCGCCUGGGGAGUACGACCGCAAGGUUGAAACUCAAAGGAAUUGACGGGGGCCCGCACAAGUGGUGGAGCAUGUGGUUUAAUUCGAUGCUACGCGAAGAACCUUACCAGCUCUUGACAUCUUCUGCCAACCCAAGAGAUUGGGCGUUCCCUUCGGGGACAGAAUGACAGGUGGUGCAUGGUUGUCGUCAGCUCGUGUCGUGAGAUGUUGGGUUAAGUCCCGCAACGAGCGCAACCCUUAUUAUUAGUUGCCAGCAUUUAGUUGGGCACUCUAGUGAGACUGCCGGUGAUAAACCGGAGGAAGGUGGGGACGACGUCAAAUCAUCAUGCCCCUUAUGAGCUGGGCUACACACGUGCUACAAUGGAUGGUACAACGAGUCGCGAAACCGCGAGGUCAAGCUAAUCUCUUAAAGCCAUUCUCAGUUCGGAUUGCAGGCUGCAACUCGCCUGCAUGAAGUUGGAAUCACUAGUAAUCGUGGAUCAGCAUGCCACGGUGAAUACGUUCCCGGGCCUUGUACACACCGCCCGUCACACCAUG